rnacentral:rRNA from 1 species
UACGAAGGGGGCGAGCGUUGUUCGGAGUUACUGGGCGUAAAGGGCGCGUAGGCGGCGCUCCAAGUUAGGCGUGAAAGCCCCGGGCUCAACCUGGGAAUAGCGCUUAAGACUGGAGUGCUUGAGUGCGGGAGAGGUGAGUGGAAUUCCCAGUGUAGAGGUGAAAUUCGUAGAUAUUGGGAAGAACACCAGUGGCGAAGGCGGCUCACUGGCCCGCAACUGACGCUGAGGCGCGAAAGCGUGGGGAGCAAACAGG